rnacentral:rRNA from 1 species
AUUCUGGCUCAGGACUGAACGCUAGCGGCAGGCUUAACACAUGCAAGUCGAGGGGCAUCGGGAGUAGCAAGUACUGCCGGCGACCGGCGCAAGGGUGCGUAACGCGUGAGCAACAUGCCCGUAUCAGGGGGAUAAUCCGAUGGAAACGUGGUCUAAUACCCCAUAGUAAUUAUGUAAGGCAUCUUAUAUAAUUUAAAGCUUUGGUGGAUACGGAUUGGCUCGCGUGACAUUAGCUGGAUGGUAAGGUAACGGCUUACCAGUGGCUACGAUGUCUAGGGGUUCUGAGAGGAAGGUCCCCCCACACUGGAACUGAGACACGGUCCAGACUCCUACGGGAGGCAGCAGUGAGGAAUAUUGGACAAUGGAUGGAAAUCUGAUCCAGCCAUGCCGCGUGCAAGGAAGACGGCCCUAUGGGUUGUAAACUGCUUUUGUAUGGGAGCAAUAAGGGCUACGUGUAGUCCGAUGAGAGUACCAUACGAAUAAGCACCGGCUAACUCCGUGCCAGCAGCGGC